ensembl:snRNA U6 U6 spliceosomal RNA
GUGCUUUCAGCAGUACGUAUACAAAAAUUGGGACAAUACAGAGAAGUUUAGCAUGGCCCCUGCUCAAGGAUGACACACAAAUUCAUGAAGCAUUCCGUAUUUUU